rnacentral:lncRNA from 1 species
GGAUUACAGUUGGAUUGUUUUCCGGGCUCACAAUCCAAAAAUCUUUGUUGGUUUUACGGGCUCACCAACGAACCUAUACACUUUGGUUUUCCGGGUUCACCAAAAACCUUUGUUGGUUUUACGGGCUCACCAACGAACCUUUACACUUUGGUUUUCCGGGUUUACCAAAAACCUUUGUUGGUUUUACGGGUUCACCAACGAACCUUUACAAAUUGUUCGACAAACAAAAGGAAAGAUUCAAACUCCUAAAUGAGCAUAUGAAACAAUAUUAACUACAAAGAAGAGUUAGAAAGUAUUUAUCGCUUUGAAGUGGCUUUGCUCUUCUUUGUCAAGGAUGCUUCACUCUUCAAGGGAGGAUGGAGCUCUUGAUGACUCUUUGAAUUUGCUCAAUCCCUUUCUUUGAUUCUUGAAUGAAGCUCUUGAUGAAGAAGAUUAGGGCACUUU